AGCUUAAGCAAGUUAACUAGAACUUAAUUUAUAGAGAUGCUGACUACCCGCUGCCCUCAGUGACUGAAAUUAAGCUCAACACCUGUGAAAGUUUAACGCUUAAUCUUGAUCCUAGCUAGCUUAAAUGUGUGUGUGUGAAAUACAAGGUCCUUCUAUUUACCUGUAUCCUUCAGAGAAAGAACAUACAACUACUACUGUAGGGUUGAAACUCAAAAAUCUUUUCUGAUUUUGAUAAUAUCCUGUAAAAGAAAGGAGCACAGGCACAUAUAUAUUUUGCAGUCAAUCUAUACUGUAGAAUCUAGUGUAGGCAAAGAUAGUUGCUUACACAACUCUUGAACACUUGCCACAGAAGACCUGUUGAAGUAUGAUGUGGGUUUUACACAGACGUAAAGCUUCUGCUGAAGGAGGGCAAAUUCCAGCUAUCUGGAAAAAGUCUGUUUGUCACCAGAAUACACCAAAAAGGAACAUCUAAGAGAGACUGCCACAAUUUCUAGUCUUCGUUGCAGCAAUAAUCAUCAUGGUCCAAGGAUACAAACAGAGCAAAGUUUGCAUACAGGAAUGUUUUAUUUAGACAGAGCUUUCAGGCACUUGAGCUCUUUUCCAGCUGUAAUUAAACAAAACAAAAACUUUACCUACAAGCCUCAUCUUGCAACAGGUCUUAACUGCUCUGGUAAAGGCUCAAGUAUUCAACAUGUUGGCUCCUCUGUAUGAAGCCUUGAUGAUAUCAUAGAAUCAUAGAAUAAGACAGGAGCUCUCCUUAGUGUUACUACUAUAGGAUCACUUGCAGAAUUUUUAAUAGAAACUUUACAGAUAUUUUUGUAACUCAGUCUUGAGAAAAAUCACUGAAACCACCUUUAAAACUAAUUAUGGUCAAAUUUGAAGCCAAAAUCACAAUCCGAAUUUUGUAGAAAAGCUAUUUAAAACCUGUGAGUUGCUCAGCUGAAAGGUGAAAUAAAAAGUUAUCUGUAUUUUCUCACCCUUUUUGUUUUCACAG